rnacentral:lncRNA from 1 species
GAGACCAAUUUGGCCUGGGGAGAACCGCCUUCAGGCGUUUGGACUCAGUGGAGGUUGUGAGUGCCCAGCAGUGUGGCCUGAAUCUCCGUGGGGUUUAGGGAGACGAAAGGACCCCAGAUCGACGUCCCCUCGUUCCCACUUUGGGGAUCGGCGCUCUGGCUGUUUCGUGAAGGAGAGAGAGGAACUCAGAGUGGUUUUCCAGAUGGGAAUCACAUUGCUCUCUGUCCCUGAGAUCUUGCUGGAGACAGGGCUACUCAGUCCCUCUUUGCCAGGUAAUCUGUUCCAGAAGAAACAUGUGUCGUUCUGACUGAGCCCCUGCCUGUCUGUCACCUUAAGAGCCAGUCAAUUCAUAUGGUCCCCAUAUCAAAGUCUCCUGUGCCCAGAGAGAGGAUUUCAUUUCAACCAUCACCAUCACCACCAUCAUCAUCAUCACCAAGAGAUGUUGUUGAAUUGAUACUGGAAAAGCAGUUUCUAUUGAGCCCCCAAAUGAAGAGUGAGUGCAGAUGAAGAGGAGGCAGGACUCACAAGCCCUUGAACUUUAUUCCAGAUCUGUUAGCACCUACAGGACCCUGCACCAGGAUUUCAUCUGUACUAUCAGCUUCUUCAAAGAGAGAGAGGUUGUUGAAUUGAUAUUGGAAAAGCAGUUUCCCAUUGAGUCUCAAAUGAAGAGAGUGCAGAUGAAGAGGAGCUCUUCAUGUGGAUGUCUGAGCUCAUAUCAGGUGUCUGAAAGAGGCAGAUUCUGAGGAUUUGGGUCAUGAUGGCUGCCAAAGCUUCUACUCCUGACUUAAAGGGCAACAAUCCUAGGAGACCACCAGCACUUACAUCCCUGGUAGGACAUGACACCUGCUUAUGGCUCAGAAGUGACAAAAGAGAAUUAUCAGGAUGGCAGUCCUUAUAACCAGAUGCUUAUCAACAUUCUUCACUACAUUCUGAAGAUGAAUUUCUACAAGGGAAAUUGUUUAUGUAAGUGGUGUGUACCCUUUGAUAUGUAUUGACAUAGUGGCACACAUAGAGUUGUGCCAUUUAAACUCCCCAAGGGGAGGCAUGUGAGGUCGGCCACAGAGGACUGAAGAAAUUAGUUAAUGCUGACAUCCUAUCACAUAGGGUGGGUCCUGGACUCCGUCAUGGACCUGCUGUCAUGCCAUUGCCACAAUUGGAAGACGUGGAAGUGAUCAGAUGCAAUCAAAUUUUGUACACAAGCACAUCCUGAUGUAGCGAUGAGGGAAAGGGGGAAGAGGAAUGAUCAUUGCUUGGACUUACAGGACAGAGGCAGAAGGGCUAGGACACAGGCACUCUUUAUACGCAUUCUUUUUUUUUUUUUUUUUUUGAGACGGAGUAUCGCCUGUUGCCAGGCUGGAAUGCAAUGGUGUGAUCUCAGCUCACUGCAACCUCCGCCUCCUGGGUUCAAGCGAUUCUCCUGCCUCAGCCUCCUGAGUAGCUAGGACUGUAGGCACGCACCACCACGCCCAGCUAAUUUUUUGUAUUUUUAGUAUAGUCGAGGUUUCACCAUGUUGGCCAGGAUGGUCUCCAUCUCUUGAGCUCGUAAUCCGCCUGCCUCGGCCUUCUACAGUGCUGGGAUUACAGGCGUCAGCCACCACACCCGGCCCUAUAUGCAUUCAUUUUUAUGUAAAACAUAUGCAUCAAUUCUUUUGUAUGAAAACGUUUGGUCAUUACUGUGGUACAACAGAAGACCAGGUCAGUACCAUAUUUUUUUUUCAUAUGUACACGGAUUUUUAUUUUGUUUUAGACAUUGUCUUACACACAAUAGACAUUCAGUAUUUGUUGAAAUUAAUGAAAGAAAAGAGAAACAUGAAAACGGUCUGAGAAGACAAUAAUCUGCUUUUUAAUUUAUAGACAGCAAUUAGGUCAAACAAUUAUAGCAAUGAUGACAAAGAACAAUAUCUGAGGUACACUCAAAACCUUAUGAGGGUUAUUUGCCAGUUUUCCUGGCUAUUUCUACACCCUUUGAUCUCUAGUGAAUGUUUCUACUUACAACUACAUAUUUUGUAAGUUUUGCCUACUGUAUUUCAAUCAACACUGUAAAAAAUGAAGAGAGUCUUUUUGGUUCAAAUUUGGUUUUUAGUUAAUUAUGUGAUGUGUAUAUGAUUUUUUGUUACCUUUUCUGUAUAGAUAUCAGGAGAAUCGAAAAUAUGUUGAUGGUGGAAUUGUGGUAUGACAUUUUUACUGACUACUACUCUGCAAAAGUUUUAUCUAUGAGCUCUAUGGGUUGUUCCUGGCUUUUGAAAAUUUACUUUAAGGAAGUGUUUUUGGAAAUGGAUUAUAAGUAUACAAGUAUGCAAUCUUAUGUAUUUGCAACUGUCUAAGAUGUUAUGAUACUUUCCUCCCUGCAAUCUGGCAUUCAUCCAUUCAAGACAUUUUAAUUGAACUCUUACAAUGUUCUUAAUACUAUGAUAAGCCCUGAAGGUAAACUGUGACUAAAAAUGUUGCAGGAUAAAAUACAGGAUUCCUAGUUAAAUUUGAAUUUUAGAUAAACAACAUUCUUAUACUAAAAAUUAUUCCAUGUUUAUCUGAAAUUCAAAUUUAGCUGAGUGUCCUGUAACUUUUUAUUUUAUUUGUUUACUUGUUUGUCUGUGAUAAAUAUGGCAGCCCUAGUAAAAAUAAAUAUAGCCCCUGAUUUAUUCUAAUUUACUCUUUGGUUGGCAAGGAAGGCACUAAUCAAAUAA